rnacentral:lncRNA from 1 species
AUGGUUCUCUCUCUCUCUCUCUCUCUUAUUUGUUUUUUCAAGGUUCUUCUUUCAGUAUCUCCAGCCCUAUAAUUAAUCAGUUCAUAUAAAUCCAUGUAUAACCCACUUGUUUAAACCUUCAUAAACCACAAUUGACCGGUUCCAGUUCCUAGUGGGUAAGUCCAUCACGGUUCACGGGUCUGUAGAUUUCUCCUUCACGGUUUCUGAUUCUAGUUCCUAGUGGGUCCGUCCGUAAUCGACCGGGUCAAGUUGGUUCGGGUGUAGUUGGUUUGCAGAACAUGCUCCUUCUCCAUGAUACAUCGGAAACAUUAAUUCUUCAAGCUUAGCAUGUUCGUGUCUAAAGAUCAAGUUCUCAAAUCUUGGCUUACUUCAAUCACAUGGAUUUGCUAGGAACAGAUUCUAGACCAUAGACAAUAAACAAUCUCCAGAUACAUUCAAGGUCACCGAUGGGGUUUUUGCUGAUUUGUUACUAAAGCCGAUCGAAGAAGAUUUGAAGAUAUGUCCUCACAGAUAUGGAUCACAUUAACAACAGUCCUUCAUUUUUAAAGCUUAUUGAGGAAGAUGACCCAAUAUUUUUGGUAUGUUAUAUGUACGAGUAUGCCACAUGGUUCAAGUUCUCUUGAGUCCUCAGAGUUGUGAAUUAGUUCGCUUUUCAAGUACUUUGCUUCUGAAGAUUGCAAUAGAAGUUUAGGAUGCAAGUGCACAUGUUGUGAGCCCUGGUGUGACCACUGAUGAAAUUGAUGUUGUGGUUCAUGAAGCAACCAUUGUUGCUGGUAUGAGCGAUUAUAAGUAAAAGAUUCUACUUUUCACUCCAGCUGCAAGUAAAAGUAUUACCACACAUGAGAAUAGAAGUUUACCUCAAGAACUAUGCGUGGAAUAUAGACAUGGUUUUAACUUUAAGGCAUGUAAUAUAGAACUUUCUUUAAAAAAAACUCAC